rnacentral:tRNA from 1 species
AGUAAAAUAGUUUAAUUAAAAAACAUUAUUUUGCAAAAAUAAGGAUACUUAAGAAUUUUUGCUU